CGGGACGGGUGAGUAAUGUCUAGGGAAACUGCCUGAUGGGAGGGGAUAACUACUGGAAACGGUAGCUAAUACCGCAUAACGUCGCAAGACCAAAGAGGGGGACCUUCGGGCCUCUUGCCAUCGGAUGUGCCCAGAUGGGAUUAGCUAGUAGGUGGGGUAACGGCUCACCUAGGCGACGAUCCCUAGCUGGUCUGAGAGGAUGACCAGCCACACUGGAACUGAGACACGGUCCAG
rnacentral:rRNA from 1 species